rnacentral:rRNA from 1 species
GUGGAUUAGAUACCCUGGUAGUCCACGCCCUAAACGAUGUCUACUAGUUGUUGGUGGAGUAAAAUCCAUUAGUAACGCAGCUAACGCGUGAAGUAGACCGCCUGGGGAGUACGGUCGCAAGAUUAAAACUCAAAGGAAUUGACGGGGGCCCGCACAAGCGGUGGAUUAUGUGGAUUAAUUCGAUGCAACGCGAAAAACCUUACCUGGCCUUGACAUGCUUCUAACGAAGCAGAGAUGCAUUAGGUGCCCGAAAGGGAAAGUAGACACAGGUGCUGCACGGUCGUCGUCAGCU